GGAUCGGGAGAUCGCCGGCCGGGACGGCGAUCAUGAAUUGAUCCGAACCCGCCCUCUCGGAUGGGCAGGAAGCCGAGGCCCGACGGUUUUCCUG
rfam:Pontibaca methylaminivorans strain DSM 21219 genome assembly, contig: Ga0104525_11